AAAAAGGGGGGGGGCACUUCUGCUGUGAGUGGCACACAGAGGACUUUCUCCCAUGCAGGAUCAACAUCAAGAGAUUUUGGAAGCGUUUCGGCAGUUAGGCCGCUGGUGAUUGUUGGUCCCAGCACCCUG